CAGAUGGCGGGAAACCCUUCUCAACUGGUACGAAGCCGGCAGAGAAAUGUCUGGGACUUAGCCGAGGGCAACUGGAGAAGGGUUGUUGAUGGCAAAACAGGCAGAGAAAUGUCUGGGACUUAGCCGAGGGCAACUGGAGAAGGGUUGUUGAUGGCAAAACAGGCAGAGAAAUGUCUGGGACUUAGCCGAGGGCAACUGGAGAAGGGUUGUUGAUGGCAAAACAGGUUGGAGACUACAUGGGACUUUGACAGAUGGCGGGAAACCCUUCUCAACUGGUACGAAGCCGGUAAAUAGAUGGCCAUAAAACAGUGACCGCUGAUUCGCGUCGAGUUCUUUCUUGCAUAACGCAGAGAAAUGUCUGGGACUUAGCCGAGGGCAACUGGAGAAGGGUUGUUGAUGGCAAAACAGGUUGGAGACUACAUGAGACUUUGACAGAUGGCGGGAAACCCUUCUCAACUGGUACGAAGCCGGUAAAUAGAUGGCCAUAAAACAGUGACCGCUGAUUCGCGUCGAGUUCUUUCUUGCAUAACGCAGAGAAAUGUCUGGGACUUAGCCGAGGGCAACUGGAGAAGGGUUGUUGAUGGCAAAACAGGUUGGAGACUACAUGAGACUUUGACAGAUGGCGGGAAACCCUUCUCAACUGGUACGAAGCCGGUAAAUAGAUGGCCAUAAAACAGUGACCGCUGAUUCGCGUCGAGUUCUUUCUUGCAUAACGCAGAGAAAUGUCUGGGACUUAGCCGAGGGCAACUGGAGAAGGGUUGUUGAUGGCAAAACAGGUUGGAGACUACAUGAGACUUUGACAGAUGGCGGGAAACCCUUCUCAACUGGCAGAGAAAUGUCUGGGACUUAGCCGAGGGCAACUGGAGAAGGGUUGUUGAUGGCAAAACAGGUAACGGCUCGCAGAUGGUUUCGCUGGGAAGCAUUCGCCUCUUCCCAUGUCCAUUAUGUCCUAAGCUGUUCCCCAGUCGGUUCAACC